GAUGAACGCUGGCGGCGUGCCUAAUACAUGCAAGUCGAGCGAACAGACGAGGAGCUUGCUCCUCUGACGUUAGCGGCGGACGGGUGAGUAACACGUGGAUAACCUACCUAUAAGACUGGGAUAACUUCGGGAAACCGGAGCUAAUACCGGAUAAUAUAUUGAACCGCAUGGUUCAAUAGUGAAAGACGGUUUUGCUGUCACUUAUAGAUGGAUCCGCGCCGCAUUAGCUAGUUGGUAAGGUAACGGCUUACCAAGGCAACGAUGCGUAGCCGACCUGAGAGGGUGAUCGGCAACACUGGAACUGAGAAACGGUCCAGACUCCUACGGGAGGCAGCAGUAGGGAAUCUUCCGCAAUGGGCGAAAGCCUGACGGAGCAACGCCGCGUGAGUGAUGAAGGUCUUCGGAUCGUAAAACUCUGUUAUUAGGGAAGAACAAAUGUGUAAGUAACUAUGCACGUCUUGACGGUACCUAAUCAGAAAGCCACGGCUAACUACGUG
rnacentral:rRNA from 1 species